rnacentral:rRNA from 1 species
CCGGAAUUAUUGGGCGUAAAGCGCGCGCAGGCGGUCCUUUAAGUCUGAUGUGAAAGCCCACGGCUCAACCGUGGAGGGUCAUUGGAAACUGGAGGACUUGAGUACAGAAGAGGAGAGUGGAAUUCCACGUGUAGCGGUGAAAUGCGUAGAGAUGUGGAGGAACACCAGUGGCGAAGGCGACUCUCUGGUCUGUAACUGACGCUGAGGCGCGAAAGCGUGGGGAGCGAACAGGAUUAGAUACCCUGGUAGUCCACGCCGUAAACGAUGAGUGCUAGGUGUUAGGGGGUUUCCGCCCCUUAGUGCUGAAGUUAACGCAUUAAGCACUCCGCCUGGGGAGUACGGCCGCAAGGCUGAAACUCAAAAGAAUUGACGGGGGCCCGCACAAGCGGUGGAGCAUGUGGUUUAAUUCGACGCAACGCGAAGAACCUUACCAGGUCUUGACAUCCUCUGCAAUCGGUAGAGAUACCGAGUUCCCUUCGGGGACAGAGUGACAGGUGGUGCAUGGUUGUCGUCAGCUCGUGUCGUGAGAUGUUGGGUUAAGUCCCGCAACGAGCGCAACCCUUGAUCUUAGUUGCCAGCAUUUAGUUGGGCACUCUAAGGUGACUGCCGGUGACAAACCGGAGGAAGGUGGGGAUGACGUCAAAUCAUCAUGCCCCUUAUGACCUGGGCUACACACGUGCUACAAUGGAUGGAACAAAGGGAAGCAAAACCGCGAGGUCAAGCAAAUCCCAUAAAACCAUUCUCAGUUCGGAUUGCAGGCUGCAACUCGCCUGCAUGAAGCCGGAAUCGCUAGUAAUCGCGGAUCAGCAUGCCGCGGUGAAUACGUUCCCGGGCCUUGUACACACCGCCCGUCACACCACGAGAGUUGGUAACACCCGAAGUCGGUGAGGUAACCUUU